GGGUUGUGAGGUUAAGCGACUAAGCGUACACGGUGGAUGCCUAGGCAAUCAGAGGCGAUGAAGGACGUGCUAAUCUGCGAUAAGCGUCGGUAAGGUGAUAUGAACCGUUACAACCGACGAUUUCCGAAUGGGGAAACCCAGUGCAAUUCGUUGCACUAUCGUUUGAUGAAUACAUAGUCAAACGAAGCGAACCGGGGGAACUGAAACAUCUCAGUACCCCGAGGAAAAGAAAUCAACCGAGAUUCCCCUAGUAGCGGCGAGCGAACGGGGAGCAGCCCAGAGUCUUAAUCAGCAUUAGCAUCAGGAGAACGGUCUGGAAAGUCCGGCAGUAAAGGGUGAUAGCCCCGUAUCCGAAGGUGUUAGUGUUGUGAACUCGACGAGUAGGGCGGGACACGUGUUAUCCUGUCUGAAUAUGGGGGGACCAUCCUCCAAGGCUAAAUACUCCUGAUUGACCGAUAGUGAACCAGUACCGUGAGGGAAAGGCGAAAAGAACCCCGGCGAGGGGAGUGAAAUAGAACCUGAAACCGUGUACGUACAAGCAGUGGGAGCCCCACCACCAAAGCAUUUUCUGGUGUUGAGGACAACCUUGAAGUUGCAUUCAACACGCGUUGGCGGAGCGCUUUUUGCGACGCCCAACACACAAAACAAGCAGUGAAUGUGCUUUGGGGUGGGGUGACUGCGUACCUUUUGUAUAAUGGGUCAGCGACUUAUAUUCUGUAGCAAGGUUAACCGAAUAGGGGAGCCGUAGGGAAACCGAGUCUUAACUGGGCGAAUAAGUUGCAGGGUAUAGACCCGAAACCCGGUGAUCUAGCCAUGGGCAGGUUGAAGGUUGGGUAACACUAACUGGAGGACCGAACCGACUAAUGUUGAAAAAUUAGCGGAUGACUUGUGGCUGGGGGUGAAAGGCCAAUCAAACCGGGAGAUAGCUGGUUCUCCCCGAAAGCUAUUUAGGUAGCGCCUCGUGAACUCAUCUUCGGGGGUAGAGCACUGUUUCGACUAGGGGGUCAUCCCGACUUACCAACUCGAUGCAAACUACGAAUACCGAAGAAUGUUAUCACGGGAGACACACGGCGGGUGCUAACGUUCGUCGUGAAGAGGGAAACAACCCAGACCGCCAGCUAAGGUCCCAAAGUCAUAGUUAAGUGGGAAACGAAGUGGGAAGGCUCAGACAGCCAGGAUGUUGGCUUAGAAGCAGCCAUCAUUUAAAGAAAGCGUAAUAGCUCACUGGUCGAGUCGGCCUGCGCGGAAGAUGUAACGGGGCUAAACUAUGCACCGAAGCUGCGGCAGCGAUAUGUAAAUAUUGUUGGGUAGGGGAGCGUUCUGUAAGCCUGUGAAGGUGUGCUGUGAGGCAUGCUGGAGGUAUCAGAAGUGCGAAUGCUGACAUAAGUAACGAUAAUGCGGGUGAAAAACCCGCACGCCGGAAGACCAAGGGUUCCUGUCCAACGUUAAUCGGGGCAGGGUGAGUCGACCCCUAAGGCGAGGCAGAAAUGCGUAGUCGAUGGGAAACGGGUUAAUAUUCCCGUACUGGUGAUAAUUGCGAUGGGGGGACGGAGAAGGCUAGGCUAUCCGGGCGACGGUUGUCCCGGUUUAAGGAUGUAGGCAGGUGAAUUAGGCAAAUCCGGUUCACUACAUGCUGAGGUCUGACGACGAGUCACUACGGUGAUGAAGUAGCUCAUGCCCCGCUUCCAGGAAAAGCCUCUAAGCUCUAGAUUAUCAUUAAUCGUACCCCAAACCGACACAGGUGGUCAGGUAGAGAAUACUCAGGCGCUUGAGAGAACUCGGGUGAAGGAACUAGGCAAAAUGGUGCCGUAACUUCGGGAGAAGGCACGCUGGCAUUAGGUGAAGUGAUUUACUCAUGGAGCUGAAGCCAGUCGCAGAUACCAGCUGGCUGCAACUGUUUAUUAAAAACACAGCACUGUGCAAACACGAAAGUGGACGUAUACGGUGUGACGCCUGCCCGGUGCUGGAAGGUUAAUUGAUGGGGUUAUCCGUAAGGAGAAGCUCUUGAUCGAAGCCCCAGUAAACGGCGGCCGUAACUAUAACGGUCCUAAGGUAGCGAAAUUCCUUGUCGGGUAAGUUCCGACCUGCACGAAUGGCGUAAUGAUGGCCAGGCUGUCUCCACCCGAGACUCAGUGAAAUUGAACUCGCUGUGAAGAUGCAGUGUACCCGCGGCAAGACGGAAAGACCCCGUGAACCUUUACUAUAGCUUGACACUGAACAUUGAGCCUUGAUGUGUAGGAUAGGUGGGAGGCUUUGAAGCGUGGACGCCAGUCUGCGUGGAGCCAACCUUGAAAUACCACCCUUUAAUGUUUGAUGUUCUAACGUUGCCCCAUUAUCUGGGGUGCGGACAGUGUCUGGUGGGUAGUUUGACUGGGGCGGUCUCCUCCCAAAGAGUAACGGAGGAGCACGAAGGUUGGCUAAGCAUGGUCGGACAUCAUGCGGUUAGUGCAAAGGCAUAAGCCAGCUUGACUGCGAGAGUGACGGCUCGAGCAGGUACGAAAGUAGGUCUUAGUGAUCCGGUGGUUCUGAAUGGAAGGGCCAUCGCUCAACGGAUAAAAGGUACUCCGGGGAUAACAGGCUGAUACCGCCCAAGAGUUCAUAUCGACGGCGGUGUUUGGCACCUCGAUGUCGGCUCAUCACAUCCUGGGGCUGAAGUAGGUCCCAAGGGUACGGCUGUUCGCCGUUUAAAGUGGUACGCGAGCUGGGUUUAGAACGUCGUGAGACAGUUCGGUCCCUAUCUGCCGUGGGCGUUGGAAGAUUGAAAGGGGCUGCUCCUAGUACGAGAGGACCGGAGUGGACGCACCACUGGUGUUCGGGUUGUCAUGCCAAUGGCAUUGCCCGGUAGCUAAGUGCGGAAGAGAUAACCGCUGAAAGCAUCUAAGCGGGAAACUUGCCUUGAGAUGAGUCUUCCCUGACUCUUUAAGAGUCCUAAAGGAACGUUUAAGACUAAGACGUUGAUAGGUUGGGUGUGUAAGCGUAGCGAUACGUUGAGCUAACCAAUACUAAUGAACCGUGAGGCUUAACCUGACAACACCGAAGGUGUUUUAG
rnacentral:rRNA from 1 species